rnacentral:rRNA from 1 species
UACGUAGGGGGCAAGCGUUAUCCGGAAUUACUGGGUGUAAAGGGUGUGUAGGCGGUAGCUUAAGCCAUAUGUGAAAUGCACAGGCUCAACCUGUGAACUGCAUAAGGAACUGAGUUACUAGAGUACAGGAGAGGUAAGCGGAAUUCCUAGUGUAGCGGUGAAAUGCGUAGAUAUUAGGAAGAACACCAGUGGCGAAGGCGGCUUACUGGACUGAAACUGACGCUGAGACACGAAAGCGUGGGGAGCGAAC